CCUACGGGAGGCAGCAGUGGGGAAUAUUGGGCAAUGGGCGCAAGCCUGACCCAGCAACGCCGCGUGAAGGAAGAAGGCUUUCGGGUUGUAGACUUCUUUUCUGAGGGAAGAAGAAAGUGACGGUACCUCAGGUAUAAGCCACGGCUAACUUCGUGCCAGCAGCCGCGGUUAUACGUAGGUGGCAAGCGUUAUCCGGAUUUAGUGGGUGUAAAGGGCGUGUAGGCGGGAAAGCAAGUCAGAUGUGAAAACUCAUGGCUCAACCCUGAUCCUGCAGUUGAAACUGUUUGUCUUGAGUGCGUGAGAGGCAAUCGGAAUUCCGUGUGUAGCGGUGAAAUGCAUAGAUAUACGGAAGAACACCGGUGGCGAAGGCGGAUUGCUAGACAGUAACUGACGCUGAGGCACGAAAGCGUGGGGAGCAAACAGGAUUAGAUACCCCAGUAGUC
rnacentral:rRNA from 1 species